rnacentral:rRNA from 1 species
UGGCGGACGGGUGAGUAAUGUCUGGGAAACUGCCCGAUGGAGGGGGAUAACUACUGGAAACGGUAGCUAAUACCGCAUAACGUCGCAAGACCAAAGAGGGGGACCUUAGGGCCUCUUGCCAUCGGAUGUGCCCAGAUGGGAUUAGCUAGUAGGUGGGGUAAUGGCUCACCUAGGCGACGAUCCCUAGCUGGUCUGAGAGGAUGACCAGCCACACUGGAACUGAGACACGGCCCAG